UACGGAGGGUGCAAGCGUUAUCCGGAUUCACUGGGUUAAAGGGUGCGUAGGUGGGUUGGUAAGUCAGUGGUGAAAUCUCCGAGCUUAACUUGGAAACUGCCAUUGAUACUAUCAGUCGUUGAUAACCGUGGAGGUUAGCGGAAUAUGUCAUGUAGCGGUGAAAAUGCUUAGAUAUGACAUAGAACACCAAUUGCGAAGGCAGCUGGCUACACGAAUAUUGACACUGAGGCACGAAAGCGUGGGGAUCAAACAGG
rnacentral:rRNA from 1 species